rnacentral:rRNA from 1 species
AAGGCGGCGUGCCUAUACAUGCAAGUCGAGCGGACAGAUGGGAGCUUGCUCCCUGAUGUUAGCGGCGGACGGGUGAGUAACACGUGGGUAACCUGCCUGUAAGACUGGGAUAACUCCGGGAAACCGGGGCUAAUACCGGAUGCUUGUUUGAACCGCAUGGUUCAAACAUAAAAGGUGGCUUCGGCUACCACUUACAGAUGGACCCGCGGCGCAUUAGCUAGUUGGUGAGGUAAUGGCUCACCAAGGCAACGAUGCGUAGCCGACCUGAGAGGGUGAUCGGCCACACUGGGACUGAGACACGGCCCAGACUCCUACGGGAGGCAGCAGUAGGGAAUCUUCCGCAAUGGACGAAAGUCUGACGGAGCAACGCCGCGUGAGUGAUGAAGGUUUUCGGAUCGUAAAGCUCUGUUGUUAGGGAAGAACAAGUACCGUUCGAAUAGGGCGGUACCUUGACGGUACCUAACCAGAAAGCCACGGCUAACUACGUGCCAGCAGCCGCGGUAAUACGUAGGUGGCAAGCGUUGUCCGGAAUUAUUGGGCGUAAAGGGCUCGCAGGCGGUUCCUUAAGUCUGAUGUGAAAGCCCCCGGCUCAACCGGGGAGGGUCAUUGGAAACUGGGGAACUUGAGUGCAGAAGAGGAGAGUGGAAUUCCACGUGUAGCGGUGAAAUGCGUAGAGAUGUGGAGGAACACCAGUGGCGAAGGCGACUCUCUGGUCUGUAACUGACGCUGAGGAGCGAAAGCGUGGGGAGCGAACAGGAUUAGAUACCCUGGUAGUCCACGCCGUAAACGAUGAGUGCUAAGUGUUAGGGGGUUUCCGCCCCUUAGUGCUGCAGCUAACGCAUUAAGCACUCCGCCUGGGGAGUACGGUCGCAAGACUGAAACUCAAAGGAAUUGACGGGGGCCCGCACAAGCGGUGGAGCAUGUGGUUUAAUUCGAAGCAACGCGAAGAACCUUACCAGGUCUUGACAUCCUCUGACAAUCCUAGAGAUAGGACGUCCCCUUCGGGGGCAGAGUGACAGGUGGUGCAUGGUUGUCGUCAGCUCGUGUCGUGAGAUGUUGGGUUAAGUCCCGCAACGAGCGCAACCCUUGAUCUUAGUUGCCAGCAUUCAGUUGGGCACUCUAAGGUGACUGCCGGUGACAAACCGGAGGAAGGUGGGGAUGACGUCAAAUCAUCAUGCCCCUUAUGACCUGGGCUACACACCUGCUACAAUGGACAGAACAAAGGGCAGCGAAACCGCGAGGGUAAGCCAAUCCCACAAAUCUGUUCUCAGUUCGGAAUCAAAGUCUGCAACCCGACUGCGUGAAAGCUGGAAUCGCUAGUAAUCGCGAAUCAGCAUGCCGCGGUGAANUACGUUCCCGGGCCUUGUACACACCGCCCGUCACACCACGAGAGUUUGUAACACCCGAAGUCGGUGAGGUAACCUUUAUGGAGCCAGCCGCCGAAGG